rnacentral:ncRNA from 1 species
CUGGCUGAUCCUGCCAGUAGUUAUAUGCUUGUCUCAGAAAUUAAGCUAUGCAUGUCUAAGUACAUACCUUAAAACAGAGAAACCGAGAAUAGCUCAUUAAAUCAGCUAUGGUUCCUUAGAUCAUAUAUAUUACUUGGAUAACUGUAGUAAUUUUAGAGCUAAUACAUGCAAUUAUGUGGCACAGUGGUAGAAUGCUUGCCAACCAAGCAGGUGAUUCGGGGCUCCAUCUCCGGACAACGAACUACAAAACCUCUCUAACCCAGUAAUGAGACCGGUAUAGAGGGAAGGUUGGACAUGAGGCUAGCAACUUCAUCUCUUAAAAAUUAAUGCCACUGCUACCGAAAAUUCAAAGCUCUAGCUUAAAGCCCUAUGUU